CAAGGACAUGUAGGGACAAGGACAAGGAGUAAUGGUUUUAAACUGAAAAAUGGCAGGUUAAGGCAAGAUGUUAGUAAGAAAUUCUCUACUGUGUGGGUGGUGAGGCACUGCCACAGGUUGCCCAGAGAAGUUGUGGGUACCCCAGCACUGGAAGUGUUCAAGGCCAGGUUGGGUGGGACUUGGAACAACCUGGUCUGGUGGAAGAUGUCCCUGCCCGUGGCAGUGGGGUUGGAACUAGAAGAUUUUUGAGGUGUCUUCCAGAGCAAACCAUUCUAUGUUUUUCUGAGUCUUUGCCUGCUAAACCAGUCUUUCCUGCCGAGUGGCCAUGCCCCUUUCCCCUUGCAAUUAUGGUGAUAAGAAAAUGAAAGAAAUAAGAGCCAUAUAGAUGAACUUAUGAAUGUUUCCAAGUCACCAUGUCCAGAUGUGAAUCUGAAUGUGGCAUCUCAGGGUGAACAUUCCUGGUUGUUUGCCAGUAGAUUUCCUCAGGAUUUCCAGAUAGCAUUGGCUGCACCCCAGCCUCACCACCUGGCCUACAGGCCCAGUACAGAUCCCCUGUUUUCACUACUGCUGUUUUUAAUAUUUUAUUCUUAAUUAUCCACAUCUUCUACUAAAGCAAGUGGGAGGUGUAUAGGAUCAAGACAUAUGUUCUUCAAGCUCUAGAGCUGGAGCACAUGUACAUGGAGAAGUGCUAUUCAUGCUACAGACCAUGAGGGAUGGGCCCUGAUGAAGGUAUGGUAAAAGAAAAAUCAAAGAAUCUUUGUAGAGACAUCUUACGAAAUUAUUCUGAUAUAUCAAGGACAAGGAAAGCAGUCCUACUUAAACCAUAUCUGAAAUUGUAUGGGUGAGUCAAGUUAAGAAAUUUGGAAGGUUACAGGUCUGUGUUGUUGUUCCUGACCCUGACCCUGUGUGUUGCUCCUGACCCUAAUUCUGAAGGACUUACUCUCCUGCCAUGUUACUGUCCAGCAGCAGCAAGGCUGAUGGCUUCUCAGUCAAGCAGGACUGAUGCUUCUCCCUUGUUUCCUUCAAGGAGCAUCACUUUUUAAGGUACCUGGGAAGAGAAAGAAAAUUUAAUAUGGCCCUGUAUAAUUUUCAUUCUUUGGAAUUGUCAGCAGCAAACAUGGUCUGAACUAAUGUUUCAUCUGGAUGUCCACAGAUCGGCUGAGAAAUCCAAAUAUUGAUUUUAUAUUUCAUGAAGAUGUAUGUCCUCUCUAGUGUUUGGACCAAAGCUUUGUCUCUUUCUCUCUGAUUCUUUGAAUAAGAAAGUUCUAAUUCAGUGCUUAUCAUCCAAUCAGAGCUGUACAUCUCAAAAAUCACAUUUUCUGGUGUGUUUGUCAUGCUAAGAAAUGAUCCUGCUUGAGCAUUAUGGUUCAUAUGGCAGUUAGUUCUUACACUUUACUUACCUGGCUGGAAGAGCUAUCAACUGAUGUUAUGGAUGAAUAAUGUAACAAACUUAAAACCAUGCCCUCUGGCAAAACUUUUCAAGGCAAAUGGGAUGAAUCAUCGAUAAAAAUGUUUUGAAUAUUUAAAAGUGUGCCUGAAACCACCCCUGCAUAAGCUUCCUUUGGCAAAUCAGAAGCUAUAGUAGGAUUAUGAAAGCUAGGCCAUGUGUCUAAGCUCUUCAAAGGCAGCUGUUACUGGCUGCUACUUGACUAGAUGACAUCAAAAUGACUUGUCAAACGAAUAGGGAAAGAAACUAGGGAAGAACUGGAAUAAACUGAGGUCUUUGUACCUGCACGCUUGUUCCAGGAUAGAGACCUAAACAGCAUAGAAACUUGGUAGGUAGUUCUUUUUGGUGUAUUUUGAUGGCCAUGGGCACUGCCCAGGAACUUGAAUGCCCCAGCAAGCCUCUGUUUCUCAUGCACAUUUCUACAUGUGAGUUCUGCUGGCAAGGGAUGAAUUCUACCAGGUAUCAGACCUCACCCUGAAAACUGAGGAGGUUGAAUUAAUUUCUUUGAUCUUGCUUUGCUUGCCAUCCUUGCAACACUGAAUAAACUGGUAUGUUGUAGGAUAUGUUGUAUGUUUGUCUCAUCUGUAGGGUGAGACAAACAAGACUGCAUGAGUGGAUGGGUCUUUUUAAGCACGGUAUUUCUGAAAACCAAGAAGAGCAGCAAAUACCUUCUCUCUGUACUGUGCACACUCCUGCCUUUGAGGAAAGGAGGAAAGAAGAGUCAACACAGCAUCCAUUUUAUUAGGGAAACUACCCAUGAAAGAAGGAAGAAGAAAGGAGUUAGCUGCACUAGUAGCUGGCUGCAGUCAUCUUUCAGCCCUGUUGUUCUCCUGGAGGUGAAGAGGCUGGCAGUUGGGACUGUUGUUUUCUGUGCUCUAAAGGGACAUUGAGCAUGAUGUGCUAACCUGGAGAAGCCAUACCAGCUUUCAUGUAUACUUCACAGAGGUUUUCUUCAUCAGCAGAAAAUUUUGAACAGUUUUCCUGAUGUUUGAAGUUAUGGAGAAAAUGUCUUGCCCAUUCUGAAUCUAUGGAACAUGCACAGUAAUGUGCAUAUGUUGGGCAGCUCGUGGCUGCUACACAAAAGCUUCCUCUUCCCUUUGCAGCACAGUUGAAGUAUGAUGCUAUGGUGGAAAAAGUCACUGAUGUAGAUGGAAGCUCCAGCAAUAAAUAUUGAAUAUUCUUUAUACUUUGC